ACACUCCUGCGGGAGGCAGCAGUGGGGAAUUUUGGACAAUGGGCGAAAGCCUGAUCCAGCAAUGCCGCGUGAGUGAAGAAGGCCUUCGGGUUGUAAAGCUCUUUUGUCAGGGAAGAAACGGUGAGAGCUAAUAUCUCUUGCUAAUGACGGUACCUGAAGAAUAAGCACCGGCUAACUACGUGCCAGCAGCCGCGGUAAUACGUAGGGUGCAAGCGUUAAUCGGAAUUACUGGGCGUAAAGCGUGCGCAGGCGGUUUUGUAAGUCUGAUGUGAAAUCCCCGGGCUCAACCUGGGAAUUGCAUUGGAGACUGCAAGGCUAGAAUCUGGCAGAGGGGGGUAGAAUUCCACGUGUAGCAGUGAAAUGCGUAGAUAUGUGGAGGAACACCGAUGGCGAAGGCAGCCCCCUGGGUCAAGAUUGACGCUCAUGCACGAAAGCGUGGGGAGCAAACAGGAUUAGAUACCCCUGGUAGUCC
rnacentral:rRNA from 1 species